UUUCCGGUUGAUCCUGCCGGACCUGACUGCUAUCGGAUUGAUACUAAGCCAUGCGAGUCAUUGUAGCAAUACAAGGCAGACGGCUCAGUAACGCGUAGUCAACCUAACCUAUGGACGGGAAUAACCUCGGGAAACUGAGAAUAAUGCCCGAUAGAACACUAUAUCUGGAAUGGUUUGUGUUCCAAAUGAUUUAUCGCCGUAGGAUGGGACUGCGGCCUAUCAGUUUGUUGGUGAGGUAAUGGCCCACCAAGACUAUUACAGGUACGGGCUCUGAGAGGAGUAGCCCGGAGAUGGGUACUGAGACACGGACCCAGGCCCUAUGGGGCGCAGCAGGCGAGAAAACUUUGCAAUGUGCGAAAGCACGACAAGGUUAAUCCGAGUGGCUUCUGCUAAAGGAACCUUUUGUCGGUCCUAGAAACACCGAUGAAUAAGGGGUGGGCAAGUUCUGGUGUCAGCCGCCGCGGUAAAACCAGCACCUCAAGUGGUCAGGAUGAUUAUUGGGCCUAAAGCAUCCGUAGCCUGCUUUGUUAGUUUUCGGUUAAAUCUAUACGCUCAACGUAUAGGCUGCCGGGAAUACUGCAAAGCUAGGGAGUGGGAGAGGUAGACGGUACUCGGUAGGAAGGGGUAAAAUCCUUUGAUCUAUUGAUGACCACCUGUGGCGAAGGCGGUCUACCAGAACACGUCCGACGGUGAGGGAUGAAAGCUGGGGGAGCAAACCGGAUUAGAUACCCGGGUAGUCCCAGCCGUAAACCAUGCAAACUCAGUGAUGCAUUGGCUUGUGGCCAAUGCAGUGCUGCAGGGAAGCCGUUAAGUUUGCCGCCUGGGAAGUACGUACGCAAGUAUGAAACUUAAAGGAAUUGGCGGGGGAGCACCACAAGGGGUGAAGCCUGCGGUUCAAUUGGAGUCAACGCCGGAA
rnacentral:rRNA from 1 species